rnacentral:rRNA from 1 species
UACCAGCACCCCGAGUGGUCGGGACGAUUAUUGGGCCUAAAGCAUCCGUAGCCGGUUUUACAAGUCCUCCGUUAAAUCCAGCUGCUUAACAGAUGGGCUGCGGAGGAUACUAUAAGACUAGGAGGCAGGAGAGGCAAGCGGUACUCAGUGGGUAGGGGUAAAAUCCGUUGAUCCAUUGAAGACCACCAGUGGCGAAGGCGGCUUGCUAGAAUGCGCUCGACGGUGAGGGAUGAAAGCUGGGGGAGCAAACCGG